CUUCUCUCCACUAUCAUCUUGCUGAAAUUAUCCAGAAAAUCAUUUUAACCCACCAUUUUCAUCCGUAAUUUGAGUUGCCCAAAAGAUUUGGGCAGCUUUAGUGGAGUUGUAGAUAGCAAAAAUCCCUAAUUCGAGGCAGGCAAGAACACAGAAAAUUGACCAUGAAUUUUAGAGGAAAGCCAGAGUUUGAAGACUGAAUCUUAAGGAAAACAAGAGUUAAGGUUGUCACGGCAUAAUUUGAGAUUUCAUGAAAAUUUAGGUGUUUUUUGCUGAAAUUUUCAAGUGGAGUCAACGAUUGAUCAAGUUCAAGAUGUGGGUUCGAGUAUAUUUGAUGUCAUUGGGAAAGUGAUUGGUGUUGCUAUUGAAGUUGUGAAGCCUGGGAUUGAUGCUGCAUUGCCUAUUUUAAAGCAAGUAGCAGAGCAAGCUCAGAAGCUUGCUUCCCCUGCAAUUUCAGAGGCAUCUAAGAAAGCUCAAGAGGCAAUUCAGAGCUCUGGCAUUGACACAGGGCUUGUGAUAACUACAGCUAAGCACUUGCAUGAUCAACUGUAACUGAAGAUUAAAACUUCACAUCUUCGUGGCUGCAGCACAACCAAGAGGCAAGCAAUUGAGCUUGACCGUUUGAGAAGUGAAAUUGAAGAGCAUCAAAGAAGGGUAGUUGCAGCAGAUGAAUGAGCUAUACAAAUUGCAGAAGAAUUCAGUGCCCAAAAGGAGCUAAUUAAGAACUUGCAAGAGCAGUAACUUGAAACUAGGGGGUUGUACGAGGAGUUAAUUGCCCAAAUGAAAGACUUGCGCAAAUGACAGACUAUUGAAAAGUCCAGCUUGAUAUUGAUCAUGAGGAGGCUGUUGGAUAUGAUGAUAGAGAUGGUUGAAGUCUGGCAUUGGUGUCGUGGUCUAUGCUUUAGUUUAGAAAUCUAGUACUCUUUUUUUGGGAAGGAUAUGUAUUGGUCAUUACUGCUUGAA